CCGCAGUCCACACACACCUAACCCUAAUUCCCCAUUCUCUCCUCCCGUCCCCUCAGCCGCCACCACUCCACCAAUCUUCCUCCGCCCGCUCCACGCCGGCUCCGCCGCAGAACAGGCCUUACCUGUGCCGACCAAUCGAUGCCCUCUCUUCUCCCCUCUAUAUGCGCGCCCCUCCCCAUCUUUCCCACCGCCGCAGCCACCAGCCCGUAGCCCCCACCCUGAUUCUAGAUCACGCCCUCGAGAUGCGGCGACAGUGGUGGCGGCGGGUCCGACUGCUGCAGUUGGACGAUGGUGGACGCCGUCCACAACCUCCCGGCGCAGAUCAGUCCGCCUUCCUGGUUCGCAGUCGAGCAGCGCACGUGCCGCGAUGAUCCCCAUGAUGCGCUGGCCAUCUAAACCAGAUCGUCGCCGACGAGAAGUCUCUAAUGUCCUGUGUGGCGGCCACGGGUCCAUCUUCAGUCGGCGGCGAGCUAUGGUGAGGUACACAUGGCACUGAUAGAUGCAGUGUACAGGGGCGCCGCCGCUGCCAUGGAGCUGGCCACCAGCUUCUGCCUGCCGUGAUGGGCGCUGCCUCCGCUGCUUUGCCAGGGCCCUCCUGCCCUUCGUUUAUGUGCUGCCCCUCGUCAUCAUCUCCGUGGGUGGGCUCUUGCACUGCAAUGCCCCUGAACCCCAUUCUCCACCCAUCCGACAGUGUGCUAGAUGUCGUCCUCCUCGACGCGGCCGUCCUCGACGAGCUCUCUUGGUCGUAGAAGGCGGAGCAGCAAAGCAUCCUAUCCUCCAGCGCGUGGACUGACGGCUGCAUCCUCCUGCUCUCCUAGCGUGGUAUUGAAUUACACAGAAUUUGCUGGAGGGCAACUUUUCCCAUAAAACUUAAAGAAUGAGUUGUGAGGUGGUACUAAGGGGCUUUAGGUACGGAGAUUGUUGGCAGCGGCACACGCGAUGGUGCUCACUUGUGCGAUUUGGCAAGGAAG
rnacentral:rRNA from 1 species